UACGUAGGGUGCGAGCGUUAAUCGGAAUUACUGGGCGUAAAGCGUGCGCAGGCGGUCUGUUAAGACCGAUGUGAAAUCCCCGGGCUUAACCUGGGAACUGCAUUGGUGACUGGCAGGCUUUGAGUGUGGCAGAGGGAGGUAGAAUUCCACGUGUAGCAGUGAAAUGCGUAGAGAUGUGGAGGAAUACCGAUGGCGAAGGCAGCCUCCUGGGCUCAAAUUGACGCUGAGGCACGAAAGCGUGGGGAGCAAACAGG
rnacentral:rRNA from 1 species